rnacentral:rRNA from 1 species
GAUGAACGCUGGCGGCGUGCCUAACACAUGCAAGUCGAACGAAGCACCUUACCUGAUUCUUCGGAUGAAAGUUUGGUGACUGAGUGGCGGACGGGUGAGUAACGCGUGGGUAACCUGCCCUGUACAGGGGGAUAACAGCUGGAAACGGCUGCUAAUACCGCAUAAGCGCACGGGGAGACAUCUCCUUGUGUGAAAAACUCCGGUGGUACAGGAUGGGCCCGCGUCUGAUUAGCUGGUUGGCAGGGUAACGGCCUACCAAGGCAACGAUCAGUAGCCGGUCGGAGAGGAUGAACGGCAACAUUGGAACUGAGACACGGUCCAAACUCCUACGGGAGGGAGCAGUGGGGAAUAUUGCACAAUGGGGGAAAACCUGAUGCAGCAACGCCGCGUGAGUGAAGAAGUAUUUCGGUAUGUAAAGCUCUAUCAGCAGGGAAGAUAAUGACGGUACCUGACUAAGAAGCUCCGGCUAAAUACGUG